CUUUGCUGAUCCGUGAAGGUUUUUGAGAGGGAAGAAAAAGAACAGUCAGACGUGAGUGCCAUACAUCCCUUCUCAGAUAUCAAACUGCUGUUGAAAAGGCAGAUGGGAAAUAUUUGAAUUCAUCCAGUGGCCAUACAAUAAGAGCAAACUUCAGAAUGUGAUGGGCAAGACACAGCUGUCUGGCUGACGCUCUACCACAACUCUGUUGUUAUUUUCACAUUUAGGAAGCUCCUUGUUUCAGAAAAUCCUCCCAUCAGAUCUCUCAAACAGCCCUGCAGGAAACUACCCACCCUGAUGGAAGCUGAGACCUGCCCCUGUACCUUGCAAGGCCUUGGAUUUCCACAGGUUGGAUUCUAUCCACAUCUGCUACAACCACAGCAAGCGCUGGAGAGCUCAAUUAUUUUGAGGAACCAAGAAAAGGCCAAGACACAUCACGCAGGUCAAACUUAAACUUCCAAUGAAAUACUCUGAGGAGAAAUUCUGUUCCAAUUAAUGUUUCCUUAUUCUUUGCCUGCCCACACAAGUUUUCAAGAUCUUGCUUGUAUUGCUCCCCCUCCAACCUCCCCUGCCAAUGUUGCUUCUCCCCAUCAAUGCUAGGUUCCACCACUUAGAAAAAUGCGUACCUUUAUAAAUGCAUAACUUCUGGUGCUUUCAUAUUUUCACAUGUUUUUUUCUGCCUAUGGGUCUUCUCUUUAGAAGUUAAAGAGGCAGAAAAACAUCUGCAGCU
rnacentral:lncRNA from 1 species